GACACACACACAUGUACCCCAGGUGCUGAGGACUGAACACAUGGACUCACACAUCAUACAUGGGUAAGCUCUCCCAUCUACCACCUAGCUUCAGGUUUGUCAGCCAUCUCUCCAGCAUACACAUUAAGCAUUUGAAAAUAGACACUGCUGAUAUUGGAUGAUAGCAAGGUUCAGAAGACCUUCCAGAGGAUUUUGAGGAUCUUCUGUCCUCAAGCAGUCGAUUACAGACUUCUACUUGCAGAAAAGGCAAGGAUGGCUGAAAAAAAAAGAUAUUCCCAAGGGAGGAGUUGGGCAGGAGGAAAGAGAUAAGAUGGAAAACCACUCUGCCAUAAGGACCUGGGCUCUUCCGGCUCACAGCCACCCAUCAUGGCUCCUCUUAAUGUGGCCCUGGGUCCAACUUGGUUCCUUCACUUACUGACAAGUACUUGGCCAACUGAGCCAUUCCCCA
rnacentral:lncRNA from 1 species